AGAGUUUGAUCCUGGCUCAGAAUCAACGCUGGCGGCGUGCCUAACACAUGCAAGUCGCACGAGAAAGGGACUUCCCUGAGUACAGUGGCGCACGGGUGAGUAACACGUGAAUCAUCUACCUUCGAGUGGGGAAUAACUGAGAGAAAUCUUAGCUAAUACCGCAUAAAACCUACGGGUCAAAGCAGCAAUGCGCUUGAAGAGGAGUUCGCGGCAGAUUAGUUAGUUGGCGGGGUAAUGGCCCACCAAGACGAUGAUCUGUAUCCGGCCUGAGAGGGCGCACGGACACACUGGAACUGAAACACGGCCCAGACUCCUACGGGAGGCAGCAGUGGGGAAUUUUGCGCAAUGGGGGAAACCCUGACGCAGCAACGCCGCGUGGAGGAUGAAAUCCCUUGGGAUGUAAACUCCUUUCGAUAGGGAAGAUAAUGACGGUACCUAUAGAAGAAGCCCCGGCUACUUCGUGCCAGCAGCCGCGGUAAUACGAGGGGGGCAAGCGUUGUUCGGAAUUAUUGGGCGUAAAGGGUGCGUAGGCGGUUUGACAAGUCUUAUGUGAAAUCUAUGGGCUCAACCCAUAGUCUGCAUGGGAAACUGUCGGGCUUGAGUAUGGGAGAGGUGAGUGGAAUUUCCGGUGUAGCGGUGAAAUGCGUAGAUAUCGGAAGGAACACCUGUGGCGAAAGCGGCUCACUGGACCAUAACUGACGCUGAUGCACGAAAGCUAGGGGAGCAAACAGGAUUAGAUACCCUAGUAGUCC
rnacentral:rRNA from 1 species